rnacentral:rRNA from 1 species
GAUUAACGCUGGCGGCGUGCAUGAGACAUGCAAGUCGAACGGACGAGCUUGGCUUGCCUUGCUCGUUAGUGGCGGACGGCUGAGUAACGCGUGGGUGACCUGCCCCGAAGUGGGGAAUAACUGCCCGAAAGGGUGGCUAAUACCGCAUGUGGAGAUGGGUUCAAUCCCAUCUCCAAAGCCGCAAGGCGCUUCGGGAGGGGCCUGCGUCCGAUUAGCUCGUUGGUGGGGUAAUGGCUCACCAAGGCGACGAUCGGUAGGUGGUCUGAGAGGACGAUCACCCAGACUGGGACUGAGACACGGCCCAGACUCCUACGGGUGGCAG